rnacentral:rRNA from 1 species
UACGGGGGGGGCAAGCGUUGUUCGGAAUUGCUGGGCGUAAAGGGCUCGUAGGCGGCCAACUAAGUCAGACGUGAAAUCCCUCGGCUUAACCGGGGAACUGCGUCUGAUACUGGAUGGCUUGAGUUUGGGAGAGGGACGCGGAAUUCCAGGUGUAGCGGUGAAAUGCGUAGAUAUCUGGAGGAACACCGGUGGCGAAGGCGGCGUCCUGGACCAACACUGACACUGAUGAGCGAAAGCCAGGGGAGCAAACGGG